CGCAUCUGUGCAUGCAGCAUAUCAAUAAGCGGAGGAAAAGAAACUAACAAGGAUUCCCUUAGUAACGGCGAGUGAAGCGGGAAGAGCUCAAGUUUGAAAUCUUCAAGGUUUUACCUUGACGAAUUGUAGUUUAAAGAAGUGUUUUCUGUUGAAGUUCUGGUAAAAGUUCUUUGGAAUAGGACAUCAUAGAGGGUGAGAAUCCCGUAUUUGACCAUUAUUUUCAGCUGUGUGAUACACUUUCAAAGAGUCGGAUUGUUUGGGAAUGCAGUCCAAAAUGGGUGGUAAAUUUCAUCUAAAGCUAAAUAUUGGCGAGAGACCGAUAGCGAACAAGUACCGUGAGGGAAAGAUGAAAAGAACUUUGAAAAGAGAGUUAAACAGUACGUGAAAUUGUCAAAAGGGAAGCGUUUGACACCAGUGUUGUUUUCUCGAAAAUCAAUUAAAAAGAGUUAGAUUUUGUUGUGUAUUGACCUUAACAGCUUGCAUUUCAAUUUUCUUGCUUUUUUUAAUGCACUUUUCGUUUAACAAGUCAACAUCAGUUUCUUUUGUUGUAAAAAGGUCAUUGGAAGGUGGCUUUCUUUUCGGAGAAAGUGUUUAUAGCCUUUGACUCCUGCAAUCGGAGAGACUGAGGUCUGCAGCGUAGAUCCUUCGGGGUUAGAUACAUUUGUGCUAAGUUAUAGCUUUUUAUAGACAACUUGUUGACUAUGAUUAGUCUUGUAGCUUACUCGCUUAUGUUAUUUUACCUACGCUUAGGAUGUUGAUGUGAUACUGCGAGCA
rnacentral:rRNA from 1 species